GCCAGACUCCUACGGGAGGCAGCAGUGAGGAAUAUUGGUCAAUGGGAGAGAUCCUGAACCAGCCAAGCCGCGUGAGGGAAGACGGCCCUAUGGGUUGUAAACCUCUUUUGUCGGAGAACAAAACCCGGGACGUGUCCCGGACUGCGUGUAUCCGAAGAAAAAGCAUCGGCUAACUCCGUGCCAGCAGCCGCGGUAAUACGGAGGAUGCGAGCGUUAUCCGGAUUUAUUGGGUUUAAAGGGUGCGUAGGCGGUCCGUUAAGUCAGCGGUAAAAUUGCGGGGCUCAACCCCGUCGAGCCGUUGAAACUGGGGGCCUUGAGUGGGCGAGAAGAAGGCGGAAUGCGUGGUGUAGCGGUGAAAUGCAUAGAUAUCACGCAGAACCCCGAUUGCGAAGGCAGCCUUCCGGCGCCCUACUGACGCUGAGGCACGAAAGUGCGGGGAUCGAACAGGAUUAGAUACCCCAGUAU
rnacentral:rRNA from 1 species